UUUCAACAACGGAUCUCUUGGUUCUGGCAUCGAUGAAGAACGCAGCGAAAUGCGAUAAGUAAUGUGAAUUGCAGAAUUCAGUGAAUCAUCGAAUCUUUGAACGCACAUUGCGCCCGCCAGAAUUCUGGCGGGCAUGCCUGUUCGAGCGUCAUUUCAACCC
rnacentral:rRNA from 1 species